AUUGAACGCUGGCGGCAGGCUUAACACAUGCAAGUCGAGCGGGGGAAGGUAGCUUGCUACCGGACCUAGCGGCGGACGGGUGAGUAAUGCUUAGGAAUCUGCCUAUUAGUGGGGGACAACAUCUCGAAAGGGAUGCUAAUACCGCAUACGUCCUACGGGAGAAAGCAGGGGAUCUUCGGACCUUGCGCUAAUAGAUGAGCCUAAGUCGGAUUAGGUAGUUGGUGGGGUAAAGGCCUACCAAGGCGACGAUCUGUAGCGGGUCUGAGAGGAUGAUCCGGCACACUGGGACUGAGACACGGCCCAGACUCCUGCGGGGGGCAGCAGUGGGGAAUAUUGGACAAUGGGGGGAACCCUGAUCCAGCCAUGCCGCGUGUGUGAAGAAGGCCUUAUGGUUGUAAAGCACUUUAAGCGAGGAGGAGGCUACUUUAGUUAAUACCUAGAGAUAGUGGACGUUACUCGCAGAAUAAGCACCGGCUAACUCUGUGCCAGCCGCCGCGGUAA
rnacentral:rRNA from 1 species